rnacentral:rRNA from 1 species
GACGUAGGGCGCGAGCGUUGUCCGGAUUUAUUGGGCGUAAAGAGCUCGUAGGCGGCUUGUUGCGUCGACUGUGAAAACCCGCGGCUUAACUGCGGGCUUGCAGUUGAUACGGGCAGGCUAGAGUUCGGUAGGGGAGACUGGAAUUCCUGGUGUAGCGGUGAAAUGCGCAGAUAUCAGGAGGAACACCGGUGGCGGAGGCGGGUCUCUGGGCCGAUACUGACGCUGAGGAGCGAAAGCGUGGGGAGCGAACAGG